rnacentral:rRNA from 1 species
AGUGAACGCUGGCGGUAGGCCUAACACAUGCAAGUCGAACGGCAGCACAGUAAGAGCUUGCUCUUACGGGUGGCGAGUGGCGGACGGGUGAGGAAUACAUCGGAAUCUACUUUUUCGUGGGGGAUAACGUAGGGAAACUUACGCUAAUACCGCAUACGACCUACGGGUGAAAGCAGGGGAUCUUCGGACCUUUCGCGAUUGAAUGAGCCGAUGUCGGAUUAGCUAGUUGGCGGGGUAAAGGCCCACCAAGGCGACGAUCCGUAGCUGGUCUGAGAGGAUGAUCAGCCACACUGGAACUGAGACACGGUACAGACUCCUACGGGAGGCAGCAGUGGGGAAUAUUGGACAAUGGGCGCAAGCCUGAUCCAGCCAUACCGCGUGGGUGAAGAAGGCCUUCGGGUUGUAAAGCCCUUUUGUUGGGAAAGAAAAGCAGCAGGUUAAUACCCCGCUGUUCUGACGGUACCCAAAGAAUAAGCACCGGCUAACUUCGUG